rnacentral:sRNA from 1 species
UUGGAGCUGCGCGCCUCCUGUAUAAGGAGCU